CAAUUUUCCUUAUUGUUAAAGAAUCCUGAUCAACCUGAAAAUGCCAAAUCUCUUAAAGUGGCGAUAGUGGGUGCGCCUAAUGCAGGGAAAUCAACAUUGACCAAUCAACUGCUGGGUCGAAAGUUGUUUGCUGUUUCUGAGAAAGUGCACACAACAAGAUCACGUGCUGUUGGUGUCCUGACAGAGGAUGACACACAAAUCAUACUGUUGGAUACCCCUGGUCUCACCACACCAAUAAAGGCUAAAAGACAUCACCUGGAGGAAUCGCUGCUGGUGGAUCCUUUUGAGUCAAUAAAGGAAGCUGAUCUAGUGAUGGUGCUAGUCGAUAUGU